CUCCAGAUGUUGCUGAACUACAACUCCCAUGAGUAUAUGAAUAAAAUAAGCUUUGAAUCAUGGGAGUUGUAGUUCAGCAACAUCUAUAG